CUAAGAAGGGGUAGGACUCCAUCUGUAACUCGCAGGGGCCUUAACUUCAAAAGCCAGACAAAAGUGUUCAUUAAUUCUAACUAGGUUGUAUUGCCAAGUUUUGCUCCUCUGGCCACAGUGUCAUUUGUCAGAAAAGCGAAGACAUACAGUUUGCUUAACUUUUCAUUUAUGGCACCAAUCCAUGCACUGAGCAAAAUGGAUACACCCAUCGGUUUGAGACACAGCCCUAAAAAGAGCAUCCACCCCGGCGGCCAAUCUAUCAACAGCACAGGCCGGUGGGCGGGGCUUGUGGAAGCCGAGGGGAGGAAGGGAACGGUGGGAGGAGAUCUGGGAGUGCCAAGUUGAGCCUGAGGGUAGGAGUGAGACAGGGAACCCAAGCCACUGCCGAUCGGGGAAUACACCCCCUUUCCUUCCUCCUCAAAGGGCACGGGGGGCGGGGCGGAGGUACCUAGUUUUUGCCCCAGGUAGGUGAGGCUGUGAUAGACCUUCUCGGCCGCGGCCAGGUGGGCCAAGGCCGCCAGCAGCGACAGCCAGUUGCCCCCCGCGCUCUUGUUGGCCUCUCGUUCCUUGUCCACAUUGUCCUUGGCCUUGUCGUAAGAGAAGAUACCCAGGUGAGAGAAGAACGUCUCCAGCACCGCCUGUUCCACCGGAACCGGGGCGGCCAGCGGGAUAGACUCCCCCAUGCGAGCUGCGAUCCAGCUCCACCCACGUGGCUCUCCCUCGCAGUUCCGGGUUCUCAGGGAACGUGCGCACCAGCGUGCGUGCGCGUGACCGCCGCAAGCGACGGGCUCGUGAGCGCGCUGCUGUCUGGACCUCGCCUGGGCCUUAGAGGACACCGGUAAGGGCCAAGGAAGGAGGGAAGUGGCCCGUCUUCAGCUCCUGAGCAGCUUCGGCUCUUCCGUUCCCGCAGCGCUGACUAUUCGGACCUUUGGGGCAGAACGCAAGACGGUCAACCCGCUGCUCCGCAGACCUGACUGCGCUCUGAGGUAAGGAAAGGAAGAGAAAACAGGAAACAUUGGAAAGAUAAAUGGGGUCUUUCCCAUGAAGAUCUACAGAAACACAAGAAAAAAAUUUCCAUGUGAAAAAUGGUAAACAGCAAUUGAGGAAUAUCAACGAUUAUUGACAGGCCAGGAUGAAGCAAUAGGGACUAGAUAUGCCCUCUCACCUGAAAAAAAACAAAGCCUGGGAAAACGUAUAAAAAAAAAACCAAAACAGCUUUUAAGACACUGGACAUCAGGCAAUGUAAGCCGGUCAUCUCAGAGAGGUGGGAAACAAACAAGGACUAGGAAAGAUGGCGGAGGAGUAGGGGACCCUAUUUCA